AGGACCCAUGCACGCACAUACCAGAAAAAAAGUUAUUGACUAUAUUAGAACUAUGAAAAUAUGUACCAAGGUAAUCAAACGUGAUAGUUAAGACAAAUAAAAUAUAAUGAACCUAUGAUACCACAGUGAAAUAUAAUAAUUUUUAAAUUGGUCAAUAGUUUUGAGUUGGUCCUGACAAAUUCAAAUAAUGUAUUCGAAUAUUUAAUAUGUACUAGGUGAAUGUUAAUUUACAUAGUAUAACUUGACCUGCUUCUGAUAAUAACAGUUUUAUAUGCAGAGGAUGUGAAACAUUGUUAAAAAAUUAAUCACGAGUGUGUUGCCUCACAAUGAAACACGAUUGGUUAUUGAUAUGUUUAUAUUAUAAGAAAAAUCCCUGUAGAAAUGAAACCUCAGUGGGAUCUUUUUCUCCUUUUCCAACAUUGUAAUUGUUUUAAUAUCAAAAUCAUAUCAACAAGAUUUUUCAAAUAGAGUCAAUUAAAACGCAAUAAUAAUAAUAAUAAAAAAUACAAUCAAUGAAUUUUGGUUGAUAAAAGAUGAAAAAAAAACCACUGAAACAUAUAGAAAUGAAUCUCUAUUGAAUUAAAGCAGUAAAAUAAUUUAGAAAGUACAAAUAGUUGCUUAAUGCGAUUUAAAGAUCUUACCUAUAAAUAUACAAUGCUUAUGAGUACACGCGUGUUUAAUCUAUAAAAUCUGAUUUUAUACUCAAAAGAAAUGUGUCAAUAUAAUUUUUCAUCAGAAAGAAGACUUUUCUCAAAAAGUUAAAAUGUUGCAAGAGAAGAUGCCUUCCAAACAAAUAGCAGACUACUUGUUAGACAACUGGUGUACUGACAAGUGGGGAUGUCGAUGGGCCAACUAUGGAAGACAUUUUUUUCAUGAAGAUCAAGAUACAAAUAACUUAGUUGAAAGGUUUUUCCUGGGCAUGAAAUACCAUUUCCUUGGUGGGUAUGCCAAUAGCAGAGUAGAGGACUUACUACUCCUUCUCCAUGGAAAUGUAACUAUGUUUUAUGACUAUCUGGAUGAACUCGCAAAGAUUGGUCGCCUUAA